rnacentral:misc_RNA from 1 species
CCUCCUUACUAUUACGUCGAUGACGCACUUGAUGCAGUGCCUACACAGAUUGUUUUGUUUAUUUAUAAAGACUCGCUUCGCGAGUGUCGCGAAUAGCUGCUUAAACGGAAGAAAACUUCCUGACAGCCAUUCUGCUCGCUAAAGUGGUAGUUGUUUUUAAAUAGAAUGCUAAUCAAUAAUCUUAUUAUUGAUUAGUGUUUUUUUAUAAUGCACUAAUGUUCUUUAACAAUUUGGAAAGCUGAUAUUAAUAGUAAUCAAUCAAAAGAGUAAUUGAGAAGUCGAAAGACGCACUUUUUACUCUACUUGACUUGAAUUGCUUGUUAUCGACAACGCCGCAAGGCGGGUUAAUCGACUUGUUCGGUUAACAAAGAAGAUAGCAAGGCAAUUCUUCCGAUUAGCUUGUCAUGCAUACAACAUUACCCGUGUCCGACGUCAAAAGGCCGGACAUGAGGCCGAUACUCAAGGCUUUUUUAGGGUUGUUAUGGGUUAAGUGGACGAAACCGUAUACGGUGGAUGCCUUUGGCAAAAGGGCGAAUUCCCAGCACACUGGGCGGCCGUUUCCUAGGGGGAUCCCGAACUCGGGUACCAAGCCUUGGCG